GUGAAUUCCAGGGGGCUUAUGCACCCCGACCCCUGCCUUUGCAAUGGGCCAUGGGGGGAGAAAGCUCACCAUUUGAGGCCCACAGUCCCUGCCCCCCUAACCUUCCUCGGUACGUGGCCCAGGGCCUGGCCUCUCCUGUCACUCCCCUCUCCUGUGGCUGGAGUCUGAUCCCUUCCCACAGAGGAGGGGCUCCCUAGGGGCCUGGCCCAAUCCACUACCUUCCAGACCUUCCAUCUGCUGCAGGAACCACACUCACUGAUGUGCAGUGCAACCUAGAAACCUUUGCCGAGAGGAAGCAUCAUUGCAUCCACGUGGGAAGAUGGCUGGCUGGGCAGGGAUCUUGAAGAUGUCAAGCACAUCUCUCACCUGGAACUAACUGUGCCUCUUUGAACGUUAAGCAAACACCGGGGCUAUACUGCCACUGUGUGGCAGCAUGCAGAACUGCAGCUGAGCCUACAUCGGGCCCUUGGAGAGUCUGUUGCAUUGAAGAGGAGUGGUCCAGAAGGAGUCAGCUGGAGACGUUGUUACCACUGGCCCUAUCCCAGAUCCCCUGAGUUAGAAGCUCGGGGAGGGGCCUGGGAGUCUGCAUUGAAACUUGCUUCCUGUGUGGUUCUUAUGGAGGACUGGUUGACUUCAUUUAUAGGAUCCAGGGCAAAAUAAAAAUAUGGAGUCCCUUAUUCAGAAAUUAUUAAGAAUGUCAAGACAGAAAUAGCAGAACAUUAAACUAAGUGUCAG
rnacentral:lncRNA from 10 species